GAUGAACGCUGGCGGCGUGCCUAAUACAUGCAAGUCGAGCGAACAGACGAGGAGCUUGCUCCUCUGACGUUAGCGGCGGACGGGUGAGUAACACGUGGAUAACCUACCUAUAAGACUGGGAUAACUUCGGGAAACCGGAGCUAAUACCGGAUAAUAUAUUGAACCGCAUGGUUCAAUAGUGAAAGACGGUUUUGCUGUCACUUAUAGAUGGAUCCGCGCCGCAUUAGCUAGUUGGUAAGGUAACGGCUUACCAAGGCGACGAUGCGUAGCCGACCUGAGAGGGUGAUCGGCCACACUGGAACUGAGACACGGUCCAGACUCCUACGGGAGGCAGCAGUAGGGAAUCUUCCGCAAUGGGCGAAAGCUUGACGGAGCAACGCCGCGUGAGUGAUGAAGGCCUUCGGAUCGUAAAACUCUGUUAUUAGGGAAGAACAAAUGUGUAAGUAACUAUGCACGUCUUGACGGUACCUAAUCAGAAAGCCACGGCUAACUACGUG
rnacentral:rRNA from 1 species